UAUGGCGUCAGGAUGAACGCUAGCUACAGGCUUAACACAUGCAAGUCGAGGGGCGAGCAUGAAGUUGCUUGCAAACUUGAUGGCGACCGGCGCACGGGUGAGUAACGCGUAUCCAACCUUCCCCUUACGUAGAGGAUAGCCCGGCGAAAGUCGGAUUAAUACUCUAUGUUGUAUUUUGAGGACAUCUGACGAAUACCAAAGAUUCAUCGCUAAGGGAUGGGGAUGCGUCUGAUUAGCUUGUUGGCGGGGUAACGGCCCACCAAGGCGACGAUCAGUAGGGGUUCUGAGAGGAAGGUCCCCCACAUUGGUACUGAGACACGGACCAAACUCCUACGGGAGGCAGCAGUGAGGAAUAUUGGUCAAUGGGCGAGAGCCUGAACCAGCCAAGUAGCGUGCAGGAAGAACCUGCCCUAUGGGUUGUAAACUGCUUUUAUCAGGGAAUAAAGUUCGGCACGUGUGCUGCUUUGUAUGUACCUGAUGAAUAAGGACCGGCUAAUUCCGUGCCAGCAGCCGC
rnacentral:rRNA from 1 species